GGCGUGCCUCCAGCGCGCUGUGGGCACCAUCCUCGUCCUGUCCCUCCUGCGGGCCCUGGGUACGUGGCCCUGGAUUUAGCUUGUGUUGGAGGAAGUUAAAUCUGUGGGUGGGGUCUGUGCCCAAUUUAAGGCGUGAAUCAGCAAACUGGGGUCCCAGCUCCUGUCGGCCGGGCGACCUUCUGCGCGCCCUCCCUGAAACUGUGUCGUCGUCUGUGGCCGAGUUUUUAAACUUUAGAUCGCAACGUGAGUUUAGUGGGCGGUGACUAGCACUUUUGUUCUUCUUUAAGGACCUCAGAGACUCAGUGCAGGAUUCGGGCAUCCCCUCCUUGCCCCUCCGGUCCACCAACUAAUAAGCCAAGUGCGGCGGGGGCUUCCUCGUCCGUUCGUUAGGCCGAGUGCAGCCCCACUUUUGCGCAGGAUCAGGACAGUCAGACCCGAGAAGGCAGCGUGGCGUGGCCAUCUCCGGGCCCGGGGCCCCUGCCGGGCGGGAAGGGAGCUGGAGGCCCGGUCUGGGCUGAGCUCCCCAGAACAGGCGCAGGGCAGGCACUGUCGAGCGCAGACCUCAUGCCGGGGACCAAGCUGGACAUGCAUUCCCAGGAUCUACCCACGAGGGUGCAUAAACACCAGUUCUGAUGACGGCUGUACGGGAAGGGACAGAGGUGACCUACUUUAGCCAGACAAGGGCUGAGGCUGGGACAGUUUCGUUCUGAUAGGAAAGCUGAGAAUUUGACCCUCCUUGCCUGGAAAGUUUACCUCUAUCCACCUCCACGUGAGGCGAGGGAGCAGGUCAAGUGCCUCUGGGAGCUGUUGAAUCGCAGCAGCCCCAACCCCUAGGCCUUUCUCUGCCCUGCCAGCCCCAGGAUGGCCUGACUGGUGUUCUCUGAGUACAGCUGAGGCACCCAGCUGACUCCUUGAAUGCUGUUACAAGAACAAAUCCUGUCCCGUCCCUCCUUCCCUGAGGAGGCCAUCAGUCUCCUUGCUGAAACAAUCCCUUAUCCAACUGGCUGAGAAACCAGCUCCUGGUAGACAAGGUAGUACAGUGUUUUUGGAGAGCUCGCGCAGGUAUGUGAGUGUAUCAUUUUAUUUCCUUAUUCUAUUUCAACAAUAGAGUAUAUGGCUCCAUAUGAAUAGCUUCAGCUGUCAUCCAUUUCCCCAACAAUUAUGCCCUUUGUCUCCAGGUCUCAUUCUCUCUCCACUUCUGGGCCUUCAAGUCCUGAGGAUCAGUUUCUGAUGUGGGACAGGGAUACAGCCACCCCUCCCAGGCAGCUGGCAGCAAAACAUGAGAGGAAAACAGCAGAGAAGUGGGGCCAACCAUGGGGGCAUCACACUUCCAGAGCCCAAAACAGUCAAGAAUGGUCAGGCAAGAACAGAAGUGCUCCUGAGAAUAGUGGGAUGGAUUCUGAAAUUGGGUCCUGAACACCUGGGCUAGGUAGUUGCUAUUCAACAGGGAACUAUUGCACGGAAGGGGCAAGGAAGAGAGCCAGGGAGGCAGCCAGAGGGGUGCAGAGGAAGCAAACUACCCUCACACACACCUCUGGACUGCAGUAUCUCUGGACUGCAGUGUCUCUGGGUGCAACCAGCCACCUACCAGAGGGUCUCUGACCACUGCCACAGCCCCAAGCUUGCUUUUUUUUUUUUUUUUUGAGACAUAGUCUCACUCUGCCACCCAGGCUGGAGUGUGCAGUGGCACAAUCUCGGCUCUCUGGUCACUGCAAUCUCCACCUCCCAGGUUCAAGUGAUUGUCCUGCCUCAUCCUCCCAAGUAGCUUGGAUUACAGGCAUGCACCACCAUGCCCGGCUAAUUUUUGUAUUUUUAGUAGAGAUGGGGUUUUACCAUGUAGGCCAGGCUCGUCUCAGAACUCCUGACCUCAAGUGAUCCACUCACCUUGGCUGGGAUUACAGUGUGAGCCACUGCGCCCGGCCCCCAAGCUUUCUUUUUUUUUGAGACGGAGUCUUGGUCUGUUGCCCAGGCUGGAGUACAGUGGCGCGAUCUUGGCUCACUGCAGCCUCUGCCUCCCAGGUUCCAGUGAUUCUCCUGCCUCAGCCUCCUGGGUAGCUGGGAUUACAGGCUCAUGCUACCACGCCCAGCUAAUUUUUGUAUUUUUUAGUAGAGAUGGGGUUUCACCAUGUUGGCCAGGCUGGUCUCAAACUCCUGAGCUCAGGUGAUCUGCCCACCUUGGCCUCCCAAAGUGCUGGGAUUACAGGCGUGAGCCACUGCACCCGGCCAUCCAAGCUUUCUUAAGAACAUGGAAGUCACACAGACACACACACAUUGUGUGUGUGUGUGUGUGUGUGCACCUGGCCAUCCAAGCUUUCUUAAGAACAUGGCAGUCACAGAGACACACACUAUGUGUGUGUGUGUGUGUGUGUGUGUGUGUGUGUGUGUGUGUGUGUGUGUGUGUGUUGGGCUGAGGAUCACUUGAACCAACUGCGCUUGGACAAAGGCAAAUCUGAGGUCAAAUCCUGAUUGUAUCACUAGCUCUGUGAUUCUGGGCACGACUGAAUGUCUCUGGCCUCAGUUUCGUUAUUUGGAAAGGGAGUAGGAAUAAUAACAGACACCAAUAUAACAUUCACACCAAGCCAGGAGCUGUUUUUGGUGCUUUACAUAUAUUAACUCAUUUAAGUCCUUGCUACAACCCUAGGAGGUAGGUACAGGUUGAGUAUCCCUUAUCCAAAAUUCUUGGGACCAGAAGUGUUUUGUAUUUCAGAUUUUUUUUCGAAUUUUGUAAUAUUUGCCUAUAAUAAUGAGAUAUGUUGGGGAUGGGACCCAAGUCUAAACACAAAAUUCAUUUGUUUUAUAUACACCUUGUACACAUAGCCAGAAGGUAAUUUUUUAUUUUUUUGAGACGGAGUCUUGCUCUGUCGCCCUGGCUGGAGUGCAGUGGUGCAAUCUUAGCUGACUGCAACCUCUGCCGCCCAAGUUCAAGCAGUUCUCCUGUCUCAACCUCCUAAGUAGCUGGGAUCACAGACGUGUGCCACCACAGCCGACUAAUUUUUGUAUUUUUAGUAGAGACAGGGUUUCACCAUGUUGGCCAGGCUGGUCUUGAACUCCUGACCUCAGAUGAUCCACCCACCUUGGCCUCCCAAAGUGCUAGGAUUACAGGCGUGAGCCACGCGUCUGGCCACCUGAAGGUAAUUUUAUGCAGUUUUAAAUAAUUUUGUUCAUGGGCCAGGCACAGUGGCUCAUGCCUGUAAUCCCAGCACUUGGGAGGCCAAGGCAGGCAGAUCACCUGAGCUCAGGAGUUUGAGACAAGCCUGGGCAACAUGGUGAAACCCUGUAUCUACAAAAAUUAGCCAGGCAUGCUGGUGUGCACCUGUAGUCUCAGCUACUCGGAGGGCUGAGGCGGGAGGAUCCCUUGGGCCCAGGAGGUGAAGGCUACAGUGAGCUAUGUUCACACCAGUGCACUCCAGCCUGGGUGACAAAGCAAGACACUGUCUUAAAAAAAAUAAAUAAAAAGAAUGUAAAAAAUAUAAUUUUAUUCAUGAAACAAAAUUUUUUGUUUUUUUUCUGGGACAGAGUCAUGUUUUGUCGCCCAGGGUGCAGUACAGUGGUGUGAUCUUGGCUCACUGCCCUCCGCAUCCCCGAUUCAAGCGAUUCUUGUGCCUCAGCCUCCCGAGUAGCUAGGACUACAGGCACAUGCCACCACACCCAGCUAAUUUUGGUAUUUUUCAUAGAGAUGAGGUUUCACCAUGUUGGCCAGACUGGUCUCAAACUCCUGGCCUCAGGCGUGAGCCACCGCACUUGGCCUAUUCAUGAAACAAAGUUUUGGCUACAUUUUGACUGCAACUCAUCAUGUGAAGUCAGGUAUGGAAUUUUCCACCUGUAGCAUCACAUCAGCACUCAAAAAGUUUCAGAUUUUGGAGCACUUUGGAUUUCUAAUUUUUGUAUUAGGGAUGCUCAACCUGUACUACAAGUACCUUAACACUCCUAGCUGAUGUGAGGAUUAAAUAUAAUGCAUGUAGCCGGGCAUGGUGGCUCAUGCCUGUAAUCCCAGCACUUUGGGAGGCCGAGGGGGGCAGAUCGCAAGGUCAGGAGUUCGAGACCAGCCUGUCCAAUAUGGUGAAACCCUGUCUCUACUAAAAAUAGAAAAAAAAAAAAAAAACCUGGGCGUGGUGGCAGGCACCUGUAGUCCCAGCUACUCGGGAGGCUGAGGCAGGAGAAUCGCUUGAGCCUGGGAGGCGGAGGUUACAGUGAGCCAAGAUCGUGCCACUGCACUCCAGCCUGGGCGACGGAGCAAGACUCCAUCUCAAAAAUGAAUAAAUAAAUAUAUAUAUAUGUAAAAUGCAUGUAAUGUGCCUGCUUUCUGUAGGAACUUAAUAUUAACAGGACACGGCAUUGUUGUUGUCAACACUGUUAAUUGACCCCUGCUUACUUUAGAAGACUAGUGCACCUAGGUCCUGAAGCAUGAUGCCACAGCUUCUUAUGGCCUGGGAGAGCUUGCCCAGGCCAAGACAGGUCAGCCAAAGCCACACCUUGCAGAACAUCACCCACCUCUUCAUGAGAGAGGACACUGCUACUCCGGUACCGCAUAAACUGGCCCAGGAAGAGAAGCCCCAAACACCCAGUGAUUUGGCAUCUCCUUCAUCAUAGAUGCAAGAAAGGAUACAGCAUGUCCUGCAGGGGUGGCUGGCCUGAGGAGGUGCUAGGGGGAAGGCCCUCCAAGGAGGCCUGCAGGGUCUGGGCCAUGCUGUGGUCAGCCAGGUGUCCCAUGCUCUGGAGCUGCAGGGAGAAGAGGGCAGGGAAGACAGGCCUCCUCAGUGCCCAUUCCACACAGGCCCUAACUGCCUCCAUCCUCUGUACUUCCCUCCUCCCAUUCCUUGGUUGCUGUGGCCAGAGCUCCCACCCUCCAAGAGAAGAUGGUGUUGAGGGUCUAGCUUUACAGUGGCUGCAUGGCCUCCCCUUCCCACCCACCUGCUGGAAGAAGCCAUGCAGGGCCUGGAGUGUGGUGUUCGAGAGGGUAGACAGGUCAGCCAAAGCCACACCUUGCAGAACAUCACCCACCUCUUCAUGAGAGAGGACACUGCUACUCCGGUACCGCAUAAACUGGCCCAGGAAGAGAAACCCCCAAACACCCAGUGAUUUGGCAUCUCCUUCAUCAUAGACAACUGCUGUGCCCCAACUUUAGGAGACACUGUCCUGAAGCCCACAGAACCUGCCUGCCUUCAAGGAGCUCAGAGUUAGUGGGCAGAGGUGGGACUGUGUCAUGGGGAAGUGGGGUAAGUAAGGCAACCUGUGAGAUCCUGAGAGAGCUGGCCCUCCUGACCCCUUUGGCCUUGGCUCCCUCCUACCCAACCUUGCACUGAACACUCAUGGCCAAAAUGAACUACGUGUGGCUCCCCUGACAUACCACCAUGUGCUCUUGUACCUGUUGUUUGUACUUCACUACCUGGAAUACCUUUCCUCCUCUCUGCCUAUUAAUCUCUCAAGCCACAGCUAAAAUGUUACCUUCACUGCUGAGAAGCAAUUACUCUUUCCUCUUUGUUCCUACACCAACCACUGAUGUACUUGUUGAUGAUCCACUUCGCUGUCAUUCUUAGGCCUGCUGCUUUGUUAUUUAUUCAAGGGGCACUUACUGUGUGCCCCACAGUUAGCAUCUCCUCUACUCUACCACUUGUAGCAUCAUAUUUACAUUACUAGUUUACUUGUCUGUCGUCCUCUUUAGACUGAGGGACCCUAAAGGCAGAGUAUCUGGUUCAUUGAUAUCCUUAGUAUCUAGCAGACCUGGCAUGUGGUAGACAGGCCCUGGUCAACAUGUCAUGAGAGAAAUAGGGGAAAGGGUGUCGGAGUCCCCUGGAGUGAGGAGAUAUGGGCAUUCAGAGGAAUUCUUUCAGCAAGUCUCUUGUAGGGUGAAGGCCUGCCGAGCCCUUCCACCUUCUUUAAGGAUUAGGGUUACCUAAAGUAAGGAGACCCUGGCCUCUUCAGCACCACCCAGCUCAUGACACUCCUCAGACCACAAGAUAUCCUUUCUGCACUUACCAGGGUCAUGAGCCUCAAAAUCUCAGGUCUGAGGAAGGAAUUCUCUCCAGCAUCCAAGAGGGUAAACAGCAAAAACCGAUUCCAAGGCUGGGAGGCCACGUGGAGAGCUUCAAGAAACACUGGGUUGUUAAUGCUUCCAAGACCUUGCCUUGGGACAUUGCUCAAGAGGACCUUCUCCUAUUGGCUUAAAAAGGGGCUACCCAGUUAGAGACAGGGCACUGAACAAGCUGACCCAAGGAGGGUUCUUUCUUCCCUGGGCUUCUAAUCCACUUAUGUUGACUGGCUCGGUGAAACUAUAUACGCCAUGAUUGUGGAAGGCAGGCAGUAAGAAGGGCUCUGCCACUUAAGAGCAUUGUGACCUUGGUUGGGCACAUCAUUUGACCUAUCUGAACCUUAUUGAUCCCAUCUGUAUAAUGGGCAUGACUGCCCUUGCAGUGCUGCUAAAAGAAUUAAACAAAACAAGUAUGAGUCACACAAGGGAAUGGAAGGCUGGAGCAGGAGGGUGGAAGGGUGUUGCUCCCUCUAAUCUCUCUCAUGGGAACAUCAGAUAAUGUGGAGAGUUUCUACCAAUGUCUGGGCUCCGGGCAUCCAGGUAGUCAAGCAAGGCCUCCAGGCAGCCAACACAGGCCUGGGACAAUAGAGGGUC
rnacentral:lncRNA from 1 species